CCACUGCACUCCAGCUUGGGCAACAGAGCGAGACUGUGUCUCCAAAAAAAUAAAAAAUAACUUCAAGAGAGGCAUCUGUAUUGAGCAUGACUUAUUUUCUGUCAGUCAUGUACAGCAUUGUAGUGAAUGGAGCAAAACAACUGUCCCUUCCCACCAGUCAACUGCCUCUUGGUUGUAUAUGAAUUCCUUCCUUUGCAAAUUUCUUUGCUUCGUUUCUUUUAAAUAAGAAUAGUAAAGUUUUAAUCUUUUGGUUUCCAGGGUGAUCACAUUAUCAAAAUGAGGGAAUUUGGGGGGUGGUGGGGAGGGACAUCUGGUAAGAUAUUAGCAGAAUAAUCCUACAAAAAAAAGGAAAGUUAUUUGAUUACACCCACCCUCAGGCAUUGAAAAGGGGUGGGAAGUGAAUGGAGUAAACACCUGACCACAGCGAGCUGGGACUGAGGACAAAGGAGUACACACAGGACAAUAGAAACAUCUGAGAUGAAAAACGAGUGGUUCUCCUCUUCUGGACUUUGAGGUUAUAAGGAGGCUGGCUAAAAACUUGGGUUUACAUUAAUUUAUUCAGAUGGCCCGUACUUUGGAACCACUAGCAAAGAAGAUCUUUAAAGGAAUUUUGGUAGCCGAACUUGUAGGCCUUUUUGGAGCAUAUUUUUUGUUUAGCAAGAUGCACACAAGCCAAGAUUUCAGGCAAACAAUGAGCAAGAAAUAUCCCUUCAUCUUGGAAGUUUAUUACAAAUCCACUGAGAAGUCUGGAAUGUAUGGAAUCAGAGAGCUGGAUCAAAAAACAUGGUUGAACAGCAAAAAUUAGAUCCAGUCAUCACGUUCAGCCUCCCAUCUAAGCUGUUUGAGACCUUUGGGAGAAGAAAAGAUGAGUGUACUACCACACUGUAGACUCCUGGCGGUCCCACAGAACAUGCUGCUGAGUCACAGGAACUUCUAGCCUGCCUUGACCUGCUGUUUCCCACCCACUGUACAAACCCACUGCUUGUUUGUUGCUUUUCUUCUCAUAUUUAUUGUCAAAGAUUAAUGUUUCAUAAAGAAAUGACUAAGGAAGGAAAAGAAACAAAUGCUCUAAAGAUCUUCUUUCCCCAAGCAGUUUUACUGGUGAAAUAAAAACCAGUAACAAUCAAUAUCAGAAAUAAUUAAAAUGUCUAUAAACAUGUAAA